AUUGAACGCUGGCGGCAGGCCUAACACAUGCAAGUCGAGCGGCAGCGGGAAAGUAGCUUGCUACUUUUGCCGGCGAGCGGCGGCCGGGUGAGUAAUGCCUGGGAAAUUGCCCAGUCGAGGGGGAUAACAGUUGGAAACGACUGCUAAUACCGCAUACGCCCUACGGGGGAAAGCAGGGGACCUUCGGGCCUUGCGCGACUGGAUAUGCCAAGGUGGGAGUAGCGAGUUGGUGAGGUAAUGGCUCACCAAGGCGACGAUCCCUAGCUGGUCUGAGAGGAUGAUCAGCCACACUGGAACUGAGACACGGUCCAGACUCCUACGGGAGGCAGCAGUGGGGAAUAUUGCACAAGGGGGGAAACCCUGAUGCAGCCAUGCCGCGUGUGUGAAGAAGGCCUUCGGGUUGUAAAGCACUUUCAGCGAGGAGGAAAGGUUGUUGGUUAAUACCCAGCAGCUGUGACGUUACUCGCAGAAGAAGCACCGGCUAACUCCGUGCCAGCCGCCGCCGUAAAAC
rnacentral:rRNA from 1 species